AAUCAGACAUAUUCAGAGGAAUCCUAGACUUGUAGUCUCUUCUCUUCUUUUUAGAACUUCCUUUACUAGAUUUAACAGUAGAAAGAGAGAUAUCAUCACUUACUUUUGGAGUUUCCUUUUUCUCAACAGAUUUUCCUUUCCCUUUCUUCUCAGCGACAUUUGUUUGAGCUUUGGGUUUGGAAGCACGAACAGUUGUAACAGGAACGGCGUCCUUGAUGAUCUUAGAGGAAUCGAUCUUCGCCUUUGAUCGAGUAGAACGGCCGGACUUUGUAGUUUGUGAUGAUUCAGACAUGUUUGGAUCAAGGUUUUUGAAGUUUGAGAAGUUGAAUGGAUGAAGGUUGUAGUGAGAAGCAGUUGAAU
rnacentral:lncRNA from 1 species